GACGAACGCUGGCGGCGUGCCUAAUACAUGCAAGUCGAACGAACUCUGGUAUUGAUUGGUGCUUGCAUCAUGAUUUACAUUUGAGUGAGUGGCGAACUGGUGAGUAACACGUGGGAAACCUGCCCAGAAGCGGGGGAUAACACCUGGAAACAGAUGCUAAUACCGCAUAACAACUUGGACCGCAUGGUCCGAGUUUGAAAGAUGGCUUCGGCAAUCACUUUUGGAUGGUCCCGCGGCGUAUUAGCUAGAUGGUGAGGUAACGGCUCACCAUGGCAAUGAUACGUAGCCGACCUGAGAGGGUAAUCGGCCACAUUGGGACUGAGACACGGCCCAAACUCCUACGGGAGGCAGCAGUAGGGAAUCUUCCACAAUGGACGAAAGUCUGAUGGAGCAACGCCGCGUGAGUGAAGAAGGGUUUCGGCUCGUAAAACUCUGUUGUUAAAGAAGAACAUAUCUGAGAGUAACUGUUCAGGUAUUGACGGUAUUUAACCAGAAAGCCACGGCUAACUACGUGCCAGCAGCCGCGGUAAUACGUAGGUGGCAAGCGUUGUCCGGAUUUAUUGGGCGUAAAGCGAGCGCAGGCGGUUUUUUAAGUCUGAUGUGAAAGCCUUCGGCUCAACCGAAGAAGUGCAUCGGAAACUGGGGAACUUGAGUGCAGAAGAGGACAGUGGAACUCCAUGUGUAGCGGUGAAAUGCGUAGAUAUAUGGAAGAACACCAGUGGCGAAGGCGGCUGUCUGGUCUGUAACUGACGCUGAGGCUCGAAAGUAUGGGUAGCAAACAGGAUUAGAUACCCUGGUAGUCCAUACCGUAAACGAUGAAUGCUAAGUGUUGGAGGGUUUCCGCCCUUCAGUGCUGCAGCUAACGCAUUAAGCAUUCCGCCUGGGGAGUACGGCCGCAAGGCUGAAACUCAAAGGAAUUGACGGGGGCCCGCACAAGCGGUGGAGCAUGUGGUUUAAUUCGAAGCUACGCGAAGAACCUUACCAGGUCUUGACAUACUAUGCAAAUCUAAGAGAUUAGACGUUCCCUUCGGGGACAUGGAUACAGGUGGUGCAUGGUUGUCGUCAGCUCGUGUCGUGAGAUGUUGGGUUAAGUCCCGCAACGAGCGCAACCCUUAUUAUCAGUUGCCAGCAUUAAGUUGGGCACUCUGGUGAGACUGCCGGUGACAAACCGGAGGAAGGUGGGGAUGACGUCAAAUCAUCAUGCCCCUUAUGACCUGGGCUACACACGUGCUACAAUGGAUGGUACAACGAGUUGCGAACUCGCGAGAGUAAGCUAAUCUCUUAAAGCCAUUCUCAGUUCGGAUUGUAGGCUGCAACUCGCCUACAUGAAGUCGGAAUCGCUAGUAAUCGCGGAUCAGCAUGCCGCGGUGAAUACGUUCCCGGGCCUUGUACACACCGCCCGUCACACCAUGAGAGUUUGUAACACCCAAAGUCGGUGGGGUAACCUUUUAGGAACCAGCCGCCUAAGGUGGGACAGAUGAUUAGGGUG
rnacentral:rRNA from 1 species